GAUGAACGCUGGCGGCGUGCCUAAUACAUGCAAGUCGAGCGAACAGACGAGGAGCUUGCUCCUCUGACGUUAGCGGCGGACGGGUGAGUAACACGUGGAUAACCUACCUAUAAGACUGGGAUAACUUCGGGAAACCGGAGCUAAUACCGGAUAACAUGUUGAACCGCAUGGUUCAACAGUGAAAGACGGUCUUUCUGUCACUUAUAGAUGGAUCCGCGCCGCAUUAGCUAGUUGGUAAGGUAACGGCUUACCAAGGCAACGAUUCGUAGCCGACCUGAGAGGGUGAUCGGCCACACUGGCACUAAGACACGGUCCACACUCCUACGGGAGGCAGCAGUAGGGAAUCUUCCGCAAUGGGCGAAAGCCUGACGGAGCAACGCCGCGUGAGUGAAGAAGGUCUUCGGAUCGUAAAACUCUGUUAUUAGGGAAGAACAAAUGUGUAAGUAACUAUGCACGUAUUGACGGUACCUAAUCAGAAAGCCACGGCUAACUACGUG
rnacentral:rRNA from 1 species